CUGAAAGCUAAAUUCUGGGUUUGUGCGAGAUAGAGGACGUCCGUCGGGCUUGGGAUUUUUCCUCUGAAGAUCCGUGCGUUUCGAGCCUUCCAGAUCUGCCAUAGGAUCCCUGCGAUGAACUCUCUUUCAGAGGUUCUCCCUUGUGGGAAUGGCACUUUGACAAAUGCUCCAGAGGAAGGUUCUGAUUUUCGAUGGGAUGGAGAGACUCCAAAUCUGCGUCCAUAAAGAUCGUGGGGGCUGAGUCUCGCCCAACAAGAUACUUUGCCAGCCCCAAGAGGAUCGCUGGCCCUUCUGUGCACUCCAUAUAUCUCCAUAAGGGAAGUAUGUGCCCUUUAAAACUUUACUCCAUAACGCAUCCGGGGACUUGUGUAGACGCCAGACCUGUUUACCCAGCAUUGCACAAUUAAAGAUGGACAAGGGUAGCUUGAAGAUCGACAUGGCAUAGGUGGGGAUGGCCUGCACCACACUCUUAAUCAGAACCUCCUUUCCUGCUUUGGUAAGUAAUUUUUCCUUCCAACCCUCCAGCUUUGAAUUCACUCUGGUGAGUAUCCAUGCAAAUAAUUCUUUUUUAGAUUGUCCCCAUUCUGUAGGGAUACCUAGGUAUUUCCCUGUCUUGUCAAAAACAUGCACUCUCAGCUCUUGAGCCAUAUUCCUCUUAAGUAGUGGGGGACAAUUUUUACUGAA